CAGCCCCUACGCGAGGACAUGACGUCACCUUCCUGUUCUACGUCAGAACGAAGGAAGGAAGCAGCGAGCCUGACCCGCCCCAAAAACGAACGAAUUUGGGAUUUUUCCCGGCCGGGGGUGGGCGAGGAGCAGCGGGCGUUACCACGGCGAGUUGGGCUGCGAUCGCUGCUCUCACCGCAGGGGAACGGGGAGCUGCCUACGUCUGCGGUGGAAGUGAUUUUUCCUCAAGACACAUGACAAAUGUUUCCUGAAAUGAAAUUCAAAAGCCAGGUACAAUGAGAAGAAAGCUCGAAGUUCUCUCAAACCAAAUCACCUUCCCAGGACUGCUGUAUGUACUCAAUGUUAUUUUCUUGGCUAAACUCUUCUUGCUCCAUGGACAGUAGUCUUCCUUUCUGAUUUCUUGUUUAACAGUUGCUAAAUACAAUGGUUAGAUGUUCAGCUGCCCCUCCGGAACUGUAUCAAAAGGUCAAUCAUAUAAUUUUGCCAAUUAGAAAACGGACAGUUCAUAAAGCAGAAUCCAAAGUCCUUUCUCUGUGUUACACGCUGUUGAAACCAUGAGAUAAAAUGGAUUGUAGUAACCAGCAGUUUUUAAUUCCUGCUGUGUUCAGAACAACAGAGGUAAAAGACAGAUGUUAAAUGUUACAGGGCUGCAGCGAGGACUGGGGCUUCCUUCCCUCCCUUCUAUACCUACAUCUAGUUUUGAGGAUCCCCAGGUUUUUCUUAUGUUUGUAAUCUCUUGGUAAAGCAAACAGUGGGCUGCAACAUGGAUUCUCACUUUCGUAGCACGAGUCACUGUAACACAUAACAGUGAUGAUACUGUGGUUUUUGUUACGUCUUUAAUAACUGAACAAAUAUGUGAAUAUAUUGUGAGGGUGCAAAAAUGUAACACCAAGUUCAAGUUUAUGAUUCCUUUUUCUCUGCACUAAUUUCAUUAAAAUGUUGUGUUUUCGACUAUUUCACUUUCAGAAACAUUGAGCAGUCCUGCGUUUUUUAUUUUAGGAUUGCAAUGUAAAACCAACAUGCCCUAAGCUUUGCUGUCCCAUGUGGGUGACUCUCACAGCACGCUGGCAUCCUGAGACCUUCGCUUUCUGACCUGCAGAUGAACUUGUAACGUCGCUGCUUCUCUUGCUGCAGUAAGGCAAAGGAGGAUGGAGGGCAUGGCCAGCUCCAAGGCUGCACUGGGUCUCCCCAAGUCAGGAAAGGAGCUUCAGUCCUAGAGAUUUGGGAUGCUUCUGCCGCGGGAGCGCUGCACCUCCAUCUCAUGCUUCUCAGCAACUGGAAGCACCUGGGCACGCAGCUCUUACCUGGGCACAGUGGGAAGAAGACACCCCAAAAGGGUUGUCUUCGGAGCAGGUGCCCCUGGAGAAGCAGAGGCCAAGUGGUCUUCAAGACCGAGGAGCGUGUGGCAUUUCACGUGGGGCAUCUGCACCGAAGUGAAGGAAGACGGGAUAUUUAAGGGACUAGCUCAGCUCUACAGCAGCAGCAGGUGCCAACACGAGAAGCGUGUUUGGGUGCCAGCUCUGCAGCGUACAUUGCCGGGACAGGAGCGUCAGACAGCUGGCGUGCGAGGCUGGGUUUCAUCUGCUCCUGCUGCUGGGAGGGAGAGGUGGCACUCUGCUGCAGGCAGUGGCAGCCAAAGGGGAGGGGGGUGACAAAAGCUGGUGGCACAGCAUGCAUCCAGCUUCUCUUCUUGCACAGGCGAGAUGCAAAAUGACGUUCCUGUGAAAGCAGAAAUUCCAGCUGCCAAACCACACGCUCCUCUACACAGUAAGGAAAAUCAAAACAUGCAUACACUUGUGGAGCAAAAUCUCUGUGUUUUCAUCCCAAUAAAUCUUCACACAGCCCAUAAAGAAGGAUGUGCCUCCCUCUCUGAGCAUACUUUAUUUCCUGCAAUGAUGAAAUAAAGAACCACAGGAGCU